rnacentral:rRNA from 1 species
GCGUUGUCCGAAGUUACUGGGCGUAAAGCGCGCGUAGGCGGCUUUUUAAGUCUGGUGUGAAAGGUUCAGGGCUCAACCCGAACAGUGCACUGGAUACUGGAAAGCUUGAGUAGGGGAGAGGGAAGCGGAAUUCCUGGUGUAGCGGUGAAAUGCGUAGAUAUCAGGAGGAACACCGAUGGCGAAGGCAGCUUCCUGGCCUCUUUCUGACGCUGAGGUGCGAAAGCGU